rnacentral:snoRNA from 1 species
GGGUGCUAUGGCCCCAGAGCAUGAGCUUGUGCUUAACUGGGGCUGCCUCCACACCCAUCCCCUGCUGGGGGCCCUUUUUACCAAAGGCUACAAGG